rnacentral:rRNA from 1 species
CUACGUGCCAGCAGCCGCGGUAAUACGGAAGGUCCAGGCGUUAUCCGGAUUUAUUGGGUUUAAAGGGAGCGUAGGCGGAUUAUUAAGUCAGUGGUGAAAGACGGUGGCUCAACCAUCGUUAGCCAUUGAAACUGGUAGUCUUGAGUGCAGACAGGGAUGCUGGAACUCGUGGUGUAGCGGUGAAAUGCUUAGAUAUCACGAUGAACUCUGAUCGCGAAGGCAGGUGUCCGGGCUGCAACUGACGCUGAGGCUCGAAAGUGUGGGUAUCAAACAGGAUUAGAUACCCUGGUAGUCCACACAGUAAACGAUGUAUACUCGCGGUUUGCGAUAUAUUGUAAGCCGCCAAGCGAAAGCAUUAAGUAUACCACCUGGGGAGUACGCCGGCAACGGUGAAACUCAAAGGAAUUGACGGGGGCCCGCACAAGCGGAGGAACAUGUGGUUUAAUUCGAUGAUACGCGAGGAACCUUACCCGGGCU